CGUGGGUGACCUGCCCUCGAGUGGGGAAUAACGCUGCGAAAGCAGCGCUAAUACCGCAUACGCUCCACGCUUCACGCGCGGAGCAAAGCGUCAUGCGCUUGAGGAGGGGCCUGCGGCGGAUUAGCUAGUCGGUGGGGUAACGGCCUACCGAGGCGACGAUCCGUAGCUGGUCUGAGAGGAUGACCAGCCACACUGGGACUGAGACACGGCCCAG
rnacentral:rRNA from 1 species